ACUGAACACUGCAGCCAUGUUUAAGGUAACCCACUAGAGUAUUUAUCAACUUAGAAGACGAUAUAAACCUGUCCUUAAACAAGAAGCUCACUAAUUUCAUUAGUGACAAUUGAAUAUGCUUUGUAAAAAGUAAAAAAAGUAUAUAUAUAUAUAUACACACACACACGCACGCACGCACGCACACACAUAUAUAUAUAGAUCCAUAAGUACAUCAAGGAUAAGGCCCCGACAGAUGACGUGCUGAGUGAAUGUCUCAGGCAGUGGAGAACAGAGGAUGAGAUGCUGGAAGAGGGACCAUCAUGGGAGGACAAGCCCUUGCACGGGAUGUACCACCGGAACAUAACUGAAGUGGUUGAUCUCAACAAAUCCUACCAAUGGCUUGAAAGGGCUGGGCUGAAGGACAGCACAGAGGCACUCAUCCUGGCUGCACAGGAGCAGGCCCUGAGCACCAGAGCCAUAGAGGCCCAGAUCUACCACACCAGACAAGACCCAAGGUGUAGACUGUGCAAAGAGGCCCCAGAGACGGUCCAGCACAUAACUGCAGGGUGUAAGAUGCUGGCAGGGAAAGCAUACAUGGAACGCCAUAACCAAGUGGCUGGCAUAGUAUACAGGAACAUCUGCGCGGAGUAUGGACUGGAAACCCCAAGGUCAAAGUGGGAAACACCUCCCAAGGUGGUAGAGAACGAGCGAGCCAAGAUCCUGUGGGACUUCCAGAUCCAGACUGACAGAAUGGUAAUGGCGAACCAACCAGACAUUGUGGUGGUGGAUAAAGAGCAGAGGAAAGCCGUGGUGGUGGAUGUGGCAAUACCAAGCGAUGGCAACAUCAGGAAAAAGGAACAUGAGAAACUAGAGAAAUACCAAGGGCUCAGAGAAGAAUUGGAGAAGGCUUGGAAGGUGAAGGCCACAGUGGUGCCUGUGGUGAUCGGAGCACUGGGGGCUGUGACCCCCAAACUGGAGGAGUGGCUACAACAGAUCCCUGGAAAAACAUCCGACAUCUCAGUCCAGAAAAGUGCAGUCCUAGGAACAGCAAGGAUACUGCGCAGAACCCUCAAGCUCCCUGGCCUCUGGUAGAGGACCCGAGCUUGGAAAAAGUGGAUGAGACCACCCGCGGAGGGUGAGAAUAGAGUGG
rnacentral:lncRNA from 1 species